rnacentral:misc_RNA from 1 species
GAUGAAGAACGCAGCGAAAUGCGAUAAGUAAUGUGAAUUACAGAAUUCAGUGAAUCAUCGAAUCUUUGAACGCACAUUGCGCCCGGCAGUAAUCUGCCGGGCAUGCCUGUCCGAGCGUCAUUUCACCCCUCGAGCCGCUUUUAGUGGAUCGGUGUUGGGGCACUACGGUAAAACGUAGGCCCUGAAAUGAAGUGGCGGUCCCGCCGCGGUGCCCCCAUGCGUAGUAACGUUUAGUCUCGCAUCGGGUCCCGGCGGAGGCCUGCCGUCAAGCCUAUUUAUUCUCAGAAUAGUUUGACCUCGGAUCAGGUAGGGUUACCCGCUGAACUUAAGCAUAUCAAUAAGCGGAGGA